CGUGGGUAAUAUAGAUGCAAAUUUAAGGGGUUCCUUUAAGUUUUUUAAGUAAUAGUAGUGGGCAAUUCAGUUGCAAAUUAGGGGGUUAUUUUAAAUAUUGUUUAUAAUGGCAUAAGUGGGUAAUUUUGAUGAAGAUUAGGAGUUGCUUUAGUUUAUUUUAUAUAAUGGCAUAGGUGGGUAGUUUAUAUAUAGAUUUAGGGGAUUACUUUAGGCUAUUUUCAUAAUGGCAUAGGUGGGUAAUUUUUUAGAAAAUAUAAUAGAUCCAAUGGCUAUGAUGAUUUGAAUCUAUCAAUUGAUGGUCGGAUGUUUUGCUUUUUUGUGAGAAUUUCUAGGAUUUCUCUCUUUUUCUAGAGUGUUCACCUGGGAAUCCUAGGUGGCUUUACCUGGAGGCUUCAAAAGUAGCCUCCAAUUAGUAAUAGUAAGAUUGUGUUACUGAUCGAUGAUGUACGGCAGCCAAUUUGGCCUGCUUAUUAGGAUGAUAGUUCGUUGGAGCCGUUCGAUAUGGACUACGUACUGAACGGAGUUCAUGUUCAAUUGAUCGAUGACAUGGACCUAUCCUGCUCCAGAAACUGAUAUGUCAACUAUUUAGGUCUUAACUCUGGCAUUCUAUUAUAGCUACAAAUUCAAUAUCGUAAAAAGAUCCUUGCUAAAGAAAAAAAGAAAUACUAAAAUUAGACCCACCAGCAUGAAAUAUUCCGUGCCUUGCUGUUGGUCCUGUUCUUGCAGAGUUAACUUGCAACCCUAGUGACCCCUCG
rnacentral:lncRNA from 1 species